UACCAGCACCCCGAGUGGUCGGGACGUUUAUUGGGCCUAAAGCAUCCGUAGCCGGUUCUACAAGUCUUCCGUUAAAUCCAACUGCUUAACAGGUGGGCUGCGGAAGAUACUAUAGAGCUAGGAGGCGGGAGAGGCAAGCGGUACUCGAUGGGUAGGGGUAAAAUCCUUGAUCCAUUGAAGACCACCAGUGGCGAAGGCGGCUUGCCAGAACGCGCUCGACGGUGAGGGAUGAAAGCUGGGGGGAGCAAACCGG
rnacentral:rRNA from 1 species